rnacentral:rRNA from 2 species
CGGCGAGUGAAGCGGCAACAGCUCAAAUUUGAAAUCUGGCCCCCUCGGGGUCCGAGUUGUAAUUUGUAGAGGGUGCUUCGGCUUACGGCGCGGUCUAAGUUCCUUGGAACAGGACGUCACAGAGGGUGAGAAUCCCGUACGUGGCCGCGCCCUCCGCCAUGUGAAGCCCCUUCGACGAGUCGAGUUGUUUGGGAAUGCAGCUCUAAAUGGGAGGUAAAUUUCUUCUAAAGCUAAAUAUCAGCCAGAGACCGAUAGCGCACAAGUAGAGUGAUCGAAAGAUGAAAAGCACUUUGGAAAGAGAGUUAAAAAGUACGUGAAAUUGUUGAAAGGGAAGCGCUUGCGACCAGACUUGACCGCGGAUGCUCAGCCGGCCCUCCGGCCGGUGUACUCUUCCGCGGUCAGGCCAGCAUCGGUUUGGGCGGCCGGAUAAAGACCCCGGGAAUGUGGCUCCCCUCGGGGAGUGUUAUAGCCUGGAGGUGCAAUGCGGCCCGCCCGGACCGAGGACCGCGCUUCGGCUAGGAUGCUGGCGUAAUGGUCGUAAGCGGCCCGUCUUGAAACACGGACCAAGGAGUCUAACAUCUAUGCGAGUGUUUGGGUGUCAAACCCGUGCGCGUAAUGAAAGUGAACGGAGGUGGGAACCCUCACGGGCGCACCAUCGACCGAUCCUGAUGUCUUCGGAUGGAUUUGAGUAAGAGCAUAGCUGUUGGGACCCGAAAGAUGGUGAACUAUGCGCGGAUAGGGUGAAGCCAGAGGAAACUCUGGUGGAGGCUCGCAGCGGUUCUGACGUGCAAAUCGAUCGUCAAAUCUACGCAU